CUGAAGAUCAGCCAGAUAAUGUUAUCUCCUGACCAAUCAGAUGCCUGGAUCCCUACCUCAUCCCACAGCCACUAAAGGCCUGGGAAUUGAGGAGAACACCUUUUGGGAGCAGGUUCCUUCAUGUAAUGAUCUGCUAGAGGGUGUGGGGGGGGGCCACAGCACCGUCCUCCAGGGCAUGAAGCAGUUGGUUCUCUUCAAAGUCAUGGAUGAAAAAAAAGAACAAGGUUACACUGGAGCAAAGAAAAGUCAAAGAAAAGGAGGAGCAAAACACAGAGAGACGGUAGGCAGGCAAGUGAACUUCACCAUAACAACACAAGUCUCUCCACCGUCACUUACCUCCUUCCCUCAGCGCACCUCACCCUGCACCCCUCGGUCCUGAAUCGCAUCCAAAUCUUAUACAUUCACAGGCUGGAGCUAGCCAACUUUCACAGCUGUCACACAUUUUCAACAGAUUCCACCAGGCCUA
ensembl:lncRNA